GAGCCAGCACCUGGAGCAACAAAACCAAAUCAAAGGCUAUAGUAGCACAAACUUGAAUUCGAACUUUCACCUGCAUCGAUCUUGUGCUGCAGCAACAACAAGCAAAGAAAAGAUGUUGGCAAGAGUCCCAUAGAACACCAUGUCAAAUACAUCACAAGAACCUUGGUUUGCUUGACGAACACCAAACUCAGCAGCUCCAUCAUCCCCAAGACUGCAAACCACAAGACAUGAAAUCACCAACACCACAAAGACGGCCUUCAUCUUGUAGAGACACUGGAUGGCUGGCUGAGAAGCAAUGUAGGAGGUAAAUGCGAAUGCAUAUGCAGGGCCCUGAAGGGGGAAUUUAUUUUGAACCAAGGCUAGCAAAACAAAGCCCCUGGAAUCACAAUGUACGGGGCAGAAUCUCAGUUUUUGUUAUUCCAAAUCAUAGCUGGUGGUAACAUUCUGCCAGGUUUACGAACAAGGUGAUAUGACCUAAAGCGCAUAUGAUAGUUGUCUUUUUUCCCAAAGAAUUUAGAACGUGAAAGAGAAUUGUCUGAGGUGAUUCCAAAUCUUAGCUGGGUGGCAACAAUAGACACAAGUUCUGCCAGGUUUACGAACAAGGUGAUAUGACCUAAAGCGCAUACAGCACAGGGACGUGAUAGUUGUCUUGCCUAUUUUAUAGACAAUGAUUUGGAUGUGCAAAGAAACCGAUCCAGAGGCUAAAUUGCAAGAAAUUUGUUUAAGCGAAGUACUGCAGCUCGUUUGCCACGAGUCACAUCUCCAUGGAGCCUGCAAGCGCUCAUCAGAGUUGUCCACCGCAUCCGGAAGAAAUGGCAUGGACUGGAUGAGAUUCUCGGCCUCCUCCGCUUAGCCCGCCCAAGCAGAUCAACCAUGCACCUGUAGUGAUGGGUCGAUCCCAAAGUCUGAUUGAAUCGACAGGAAGUGUUCCCUAGCAUCAGUGAUCUUCCCCGCGUGGCUGCAACCACUCAGGAUUGCGAUAAAAGUGAUCUCGUCCGGUGAAAUCCCUUCGAGAUUCAUGGCCUGAAACGCAUUAAUCGCAUCUUGCAUAUGCGUUUCUGGCAAGUACUGCGAUCAAGGCCGUCCACGACCGCUGGUCUUUCCAUGGCAUAUUUUCGAACACUUCAUGGGCGCAGCUUACAUUACCAUUUACGGAAAAUGCAACCAUCAUUGUAGUAUUGUGCACCAGAAUUCUGUCAAAUAUACUCUUCUCUUGCACAAGACACCCAUUAAGGGCAUAGACUGAGAUCAUAGCGUUCCAGGACACUACGUCGUGCAAGGGCAUUCGAUCGAAGGCUUGAAUUGAUUCGUCAAAUUCACCACAAUCGCCAUAGCCAGUCAGAAGAACACACCAUGCAGGGUGAUCGCGGAAAGGCAUCGAGAGGAACAUUCUCUUCGCAUCUGUUUGAUACCCAUCCUAUGCACGGGCUGACAUUACGGUGUUCCAUGCCACGACAUUCCAACUCGGCAUUCUAUCCAGGCCUCUUUUGCUUUGAAGGUUUGCAUUGCAGUAACAAGUCCACCAGCUAGAGCAUUCCAGGAUCUUUCUGCUCCACAAGAGAAAACAAUCUCCACAUCUCCUCGAGAUUCCCAACUCCGGCAUUGCAGAAAUCAUGCAAGUCCAAGCUGCAACAUUGGUCUCGGGCGUCGACUCAAAGAUUAUCUUUACCUCAGUUACCCGACCCACAUGCGCCAAGACCUGUAUCAUUGCGUUACUAGACAGAAUAUCCCACUGUGGCAUCCGAUCAAAGAGUAUCAUUUCUUCCUGAGUAUCCUCUGUUUGGGCAUAUACUGUAAUCAUAGUAUUCCAAGUAAUGACAUUCUUUUGAGGCAUGUUAAGAAACACAGAAGUAGAUUCAUUUAAGCAACAAGUAGAUGCUCAAGAUGACUAGGGCCUUUGACCCUUGCAAUUCAAUACUUGAAGAUCAAAGCAAGAAUGAAAGUGAAGGCUAAAAUCCCAUUCCACAUGGUUGAGGUAAAUAUUAGUGUUGUAUACUUAAGCUCUUGUAAGUAGCAUAGCUCGCUUACACAAACUCUGUAAAAUUGGAUAUAAAUUUUCCUCUCUAAAUUGUUUCAAAUGUUAAAACAUUGACAAAACUUACCUAAAGACAGCAAGGAAGAAUGUUGCAAACAACAUAAGAAAAUUGAGACUUAGUUUCCUCUUCUUGAAAGAAAACAAAAAAUAAUCCACUAGUGAGUAAUAUGAACUUAGCAAUGCAGAAAGAAUGUCACAAACUUUAAAUAAUAUGUCACAAACUUUUCCACAAAGAAGGAGAGAAAUAUCAAAACCAGGAAGCAAUUUUUAUAUAUGAAUCAUAGAACUACCCUUGCCAAAGCAAGACUUUGUAGCUUUCAAAACCUGCUUGGGCAACAAUGAGAACCAUAUGAAAUCUAAGCCGGGAAGAAGGUAAUGAGAUGGUUGCUCAUCGUCAAAUAAUCUAAUAUUAUUAGCAUUAGCUGUGGGUGGAAGAGGUAAUGGAAUAUAUAUCUCUUCUAAAUCAAUAGCAACAUCAGAACAAGUACAACUCAAAUCGCUAUAUAUAACCUUAGAAAUUUACAAAGGUAUAAGAAAAGAAAAGAUGGGCAAACAGAGCACAUAAAUCAGGUGUUGGAAUUGAAAGUAACAUCAAAACAAGUACAACUCAAAUCACUAUAUAUAAUCUCAUAAAUUAACAAAAGUAUAAGAAAAGAAAAGAUGGGCAGAUAAAGCACAUGAAUUAAUUAUUGGAAAAUGUGUUGAGGUCUUUUGUGGGAAAUUUGAUUCAAUAAAGAGUAUGGGAGAAAUACUUGCCUUUGCUUUAGUUUACUCACAAUAAUGCUUAUCAAUUGUUUAUUAACAUGUUUCCAUUCAUGGUAAUGUAUAGCUAUGAGCAUAAGUUUUUUGUGAAUUUGAAUUUGGCUUUAGUUUGGGUGUUUUAUGUUUGUGAUUUUCUGGAGGAUAUGCAAAACAAGUUUGAGUUGGCAAAGUUGAACAUGAGGCAAGUUCAAAAUAAAGACAAAAGUUAGGCUCAUGAGUAUUGUCAUCAUUAAGAGUACAAAGUUGGUGACAAAGUUUUCCUGAAAUUGUUAGAUGCACAAAAGUCUCUGAAAGGAGGUGGUAGUGAUUGAUCAGACAUUAAAGAAGGUUCAUUUAGAUUGCAAGAGGUACCAAGAUCAUACUGAUGUUCCAAGUGCUUAAUGAAAUUUUAUAAAAUCCAGAAGAUAAAACACAGGAUUGUCUCCAAGAAAAAUGUGUCCUCAUAAUGUUGCAGCAUUUCCUCUGAUCAGGUCUCGUUGAUCUAUGCCAACUUGACACUGGACGACAUUCUACUCAAGAACGAGCUCGACAAACUUGCUGAAAACAUCCAAACUUCAAGGUCCCGUUUGAGACUAUCAGACUUCUCGUGUUUCCAAGGAAAACCGAUGCAUGUUUACAGGUUUUCUAUGUUGCCGAUAAGCCAAUGCGAUAAGGAUCCGGCUUCAUCACGAAAGACCUGGUGAAGGGACUACCACCUCCUUCAGACGGCAAUCUCAUCAUGGUUUGAAGCUCAUUCGCUGCUUGUUACUUAGUUCCCCAUUGACACCAUUUCCAACAGGUGUGCAGGUCUCCAGCCCUCAUGAACCACAUCUCCGGCGAUAAAGCACCAGACAAAUGACAAGGACAAGUAACCAUUUUACAGAGAUAUCUAUUCCAACGCGCGAGCUUCCCUGAUUCCCCUCUUCCUUCUCAACAGUUGACAGGUCUCUUGAAGAGCAUGGGUUACACCGAAGACCAAGUGUACAAGUUCUAGGCAUUCUUGGACAAGAACAACACAAUACAAUAAAAAACUCUUUAAAGUCAUGAGAGCCGUAGAUUAAGGUCCCCUGAGACGCACUGGCUUAUUCCGUGGAGUCAUGCCGUGUGCUUAUGGAGUCGCAGCGUGAUGAUCUUUCCCACCUGAACGAAUGAAAAGAAGAGCGUUUGCACAGAAAAGAGUGGAAAGUCUAUACUGUAGCACCUGAUGCCUUGGGACUGUCCUUCGGAGUUGGGCUUGGAGCGGGGCUGGUCUUUGGAGGAGAUGGGCUUGGAGCGGGGCUGGUCUUUGGAGAUGGGCUUGGUGUUGGGCUUGAACUGGGACUUUCCGUGCAUCCUGUUAACAGCAAAACUCUAUCAAGUUCAUGGUACAAAUCAUGGAAGCAUGAAAAGUUGCCUAGACAAACCUGGUGGGGGCGGUCCUGACAGAAACAUGAAAGAAAAAUAAAACAGUUAGGCAUGAAAAACCAUAGACAAACCUGGCGGUCCUGACAGAAACAUGAAACAAAAAUAAAACAGUUAGGCAUGAAGAACCAUAGAAAAGAAAGCACAAGGUUGUAUGUAUAUGGCACCUGCUUCAAAUUUACGUAAAAAGUUUCAGUACGUGAUAUUAAUCUUGCUGUUAAAUUCAAGAGUUUCACCUGGGCAUGGCGGCGCACCACGGAGCCAGCACCUGGAACAACAAAACCAAAUCGAAGGCUAUAGUAGCAUAAACUUGAAUUCAAACUUUCACCUGCAUCGAUCUUGUGCUGCAGCAACAACAAGCAAAGAAAAGAUGUUGGCAAGAGUCCCAUAGAAGACCAUGUGAAAUGCAUCAAAAGAACCUUGGUUUCCUUGACGAACAACAAACUCAGCAGCUCCAUCAUCUCCGAGACUGCAAACCACAAGACAUGAAAUCACCAAUGCCACAAAGACGGCCUUCAUCUUGUAGAGACACUGGAUGGCUACCUGAGAGGCAAUGCAGGAGGUGAAAUGCGAAUGCAUAUGCAGUGCCUCGAAGCUGGAAUUUAU
rnacentral:lncRNA from 1 species